AUUGAUAUCCCUGGCAAAUAGAGUAAGCAACCGUUUGCAACAUUCAGUGGUAGAACCGAGGUCUGUCCGUACAAUCGUGGUCACAAAAGUUCUUGAGUAUAUUUUUUGUAAGAAUAGCUUCCAAUCCCCAUUGCAUCCUGUUGACCACCAUCCAUUAGUCGUAAAGUUUUUUGUUGGCAGGCAGCAUGAGUUGUGAACCCCCUUACCGAAGUUUCCAAAAGUGAUAUCGGAAUUCUGGGAUCUGCAAGUCUAGGAAAAUCCCAGGCUUAGAACGGACGCAGACCAGCCGUUGAUUGAUGGGGUCGCAGCCUUGGUUCAGAUUGGGUGACAAGCAGAAGCAGAGGCACAAGACUUCAAUUCCUAGACAACCUUCUUUCAACACCUUCGUCAUCAACUCGCUCGGUUCUUGCUCGAGGCAAUGGGCUCCUGCCCAAAGCAACCUUCACAUGCAUCUUGAGCCGGUGGAAAGG
rnacentral:lncRNA from 1 species